CCCAGUGAACAAUUAAACGGCCGCGGUACCCUAACCGUGCAAAGGUAGCAUAAUCAUUUGUCUACUAAUUAUAGACCUGCAUGAAAGGCAAAAUGAGGGUCUAACUGUCUCUUAUAAUGAAUCAAUUAAACUGAUCUCCUAGUAAAAAAGCUAGAAUCUCCACAUAAGACCAGAAGACCCUGUGAAGCUUAAACUAAACUAUUAAACCAUAUAAUAACCACUUUCGGUUGGGGCGACCUUGGAAAAAAAAAGAACUUCCAAAAACUAUGACUAUCCAUACUACCCAGGCCAACAAGCCAAUAAACGACCCAGCACAGCUGAUCACCGAACCAAGUUACUCCAGGGAUAACAGCGCAAUCCUCUUCAAGAGCCCAUAUCAAAAAGAGGGUUUACGACCUCGAUGUUGGAUCAGG
rnacentral:rRNA from 1 species